UACGUAGGGGGCAAGCGUUGUCCGGAUUUAUUGGGCGUAAAGAGCGUGUAGGCGGCCAUACAGGUCCGUUGUGAAAACUGGAGGCUUAACCUCCAGACGUCGAUGGAAACCGUAUGGCUAGAGUCCGGAAGAGGAGAGUGGAAUUCCUGGUGUAGCGGUGAAAUGCGCAGAUAUCAGGAAGAACACCCGUGGCGAAGGCGGCUCUCGUGGGACGGUACUGACGCUGAGACGCGAAAGCGUGGGGAGCGAACAGG
rnacentral:rRNA from 1 species